rnacentral:rRNA from 1 species
UACGGGGGGGGCAAGCGUUGUUCGGAAUUACUGGGCGUAAAGGGCUCGUAGGCGGCCAACUAAGUCCGACGUGAAAUCCCAAGGCUUAACCUGGGAACUGCGUCUGAUACUGGGAGGCUCGAGUAUGGGAGAGGGAUGUAGAAUUCCAGGUGUAGCGGUGAAAUGCGUAGAUAUCUGGAGGAAUACCGGUGGCGAAGGCGGCAUCCUGGACCAUUACUGACGCUGAGGCGCGAAAGCUAGGGGAGCAAACGGG